AUGCAUGUCUAAGUACAAGCCAUAUUAUGGUGAAACCGCGAAUGGCUCAUUAAAUCACACCUAAUCUACUGGAAUGUUAGCAGUUACUUGGAUAACUGAGGUAAUUCUUGAGCUAAUACAUGCGAAAAAUCCCGACUCACGAAGGGAUGCUUUUAUUAGAUCAAAACCAAACAGCUUCGGCUGUAACACUGGUGACUCUGAAUAACUUUGGGCUGAUCGCAUUGCCUUGAGCAGGCGACAUUUCCUUCGAAGGUGUGCCCUAUCAACUGUCGACUGUGAUAUAGACGCUCACAGUGGUUUUGACGGGUAACGGGGAAUCAGGGUUCGAUUCCGGAGAGGGAGCCUUAAAAACGGCUACCACAUCCAAGGAAGGCAGCAGGCACGCAAAUUACCCAAUGAACGAAGUUCGAGGUAGUGACGAAAAAUAACAAUACAAGACUCAUCCGAGGCCUUGUAAUUGGAAUGAGUACACUUUAAAACCGUUUCACGAGGAUCUAUUGGAGGGCAAGUCUGGUGCCAGCAGCCGCGGUAAUUCCAGCUCCAAUAGCGUAUAUUAAAGUUGUUGUGGUUAAAAAGCUCGUAGUUGGAUUUCGGCGGGUAUUGGUUGGUUUGAAUUGCUUCAACACUGACUUUUUUACCCGUGUGUUUUGCCAGAAUUUAGCGGGUGAUCUUCGCCGAUUGUCCGUUGGAACUGGUAGGUUUACUUUGAAAAAAUUAGAGUGCUCAAAGCAAGCUUACUGCUUGAAUAGUUGCGCAUGGAAUAAUAGAAUAGGAAGUCGUUUCUA
rnacentral:rRNA from 1 species